GACACCCAAUGCUCUGGCUCUGAAGUGAGUGCAACUCGUGAAGCAGGAUUUAUUAGGGCAUCUUAAUCAGAAAACUAGAGAAAUGUGCAAACCCACCCUGUGAAUCACCUUGUGCGGUAACCAUAUUGCUGGAGAGGAUUCAACUGCCAACAUCAAGAGGCUAAAGUGCACCUAUGAGAUCAUCUUACAUUACCUUGAGCUGAGAGGCCAGUAGCAGAGAGACAGAAGCAAAGACAAGUUCCUGUUAGAGGUGCCAGUACAGAUACAGAUGAACCCAGUGCAGUGACCCCCGAGCCCAGCAGUAAAGGCGUCCCGCUCCCUCCACCACACACCUAACUACAUCCAGAGAUGCGCCUGCUGCCCAGCACGGGCUCAGUUUGUAAAGAGCUGGACUGAACGCCAUUAAACCUGGGCAACAGCAGUGCUGGGAACUCUCAUGAGCGCAGGCCCUUGUGUGAAGAGAGCACAUGCGGAAAAAGGGAGGAAUGUACUUUCCACCCCCAGCCGAGCAGUCUGUGGAAAGAGGUGACUCUGCACAUCGGCAGCUGAAAGCAGGGCAUGCUGCGCCCCCAUCUCACGUAUGUAGAAAAGCUGCUCACUUCACAUGGAUUUCCUUAACUACUGGGAGAAUUAAUGUUAUUAUGUGUGAACCACAGACAACACUGGUAGUGCGCAAAGAGAAAACAUACUUCAGAAGUCUACAAAUAAGGUGAUUAGAUGUGAUCUUUUAAUUUUGCAUUACGCUAGGAAAAAAUCUCAGGUAUAGGCUAAGGAUUAUAUUUUAAUAUCCAUGCAGAUACGGUAUAAAGCUUGCUUCUGUUUGAUUAAAAAGACUGCCACUCCUAUUUUCUGCAUAAGGAAAGUACCCUGAUUCUAAGACAUUAUGAUGUGGAUAUUUCAUAGGUAUAAUUUAUGUGUGUCUAUACAUUUGUUCAUAUAAACUUAUACUUGGAUUAUUUACAGUGCUAACAUGAAGAAAAAUGCCCUCUUCACACAUACACAUGUUAGAAUAUUUAUAACACACUGAAAUGUCAAUGCCUCUGGUUACUCAUUCUGUGUCAUGUCAGUUCAUGGCUAUUUCUUGGCAUAUGAGAUUUCAAUUGAACAGAAGAGACUGAAUUUGAUAUUAUAAAACUAGACAGGAGGUGCACACCUCAACUAAAUAGAAAAUAUUCCCCGUAUGUAAAAAUCAACAGUAAGUUAUAAACAGGAAGUCAGUUUAAGAGGCCUGGAGCAUAGUAGAUGCUCAAUAAAUGUGCUGACUAGAGAAUAAAAUUUGUCAUGUUUUAAUAAUCCUGUAAAAUGAUAUUAAACAAAACUGAUGCAUUUUUUUUAAAAAAGCUUUUGUUCCGAAGCAGUAGCUACAGAUAGUUCAUGUAGCUACAGAGGACCUCGUAUUUAUUCUGAGUAUUUACUGGCUUGCAACAUCUUUUGGAAUGUAACAGCUACAUGCUGAAAAUAGAACAGUCCUGCUCAUCAAAGCAGGAAAAAGGCUGGCCCAGGUAUCACAGGAAAACACCACUGGGAAUAAACUUUCUGAGCUGAAAAGCCACUAAUUGGUGAGGUGGAAAGUUUCAGUCAUUACUUCUAACAUAAUCUCCAUGGCUUGUGCCUGAGGACACAGCUUUCCU